rnacentral:rRNA from 1 species
ACUUCGGUACAUCGGUGACAGGUGGUGCAUGGUUGUCGGUCAGCUCGUGUCGUGAGAUGUUGGGUUAAGUCCCGCAACGAGCGCAACCCCUAUUGUUAGUUGCCAUCAUUCAGUUGGGCACUCUAGCGAGACUGCCGGUAAUAAACCGGAGGAAGGUGGGGAUGACGUCAAAUCAUCAUGCCCUUACUGACCUGGGCUACACACGUGCUACAAUGGUUGGUACAACGAGUUGCGAGUCGGUGACGGCGAGCUAAUCUCUUAAAGCCAAUCUCAGUUCGGAUUGUAGGCUGCAACUCGCCUACAUGAAGUCGGAAUCGCUAGUAAUCGCGGAUCAGCACGCCGCGGUGAAUACGUUCCCGGGCCUU